rnacentral:lncRNA from 1 species
UUUUUUUUUUUUUUUUGAGAAGAGAGAAUAUUUAAAAUCCUUCCUAAAGUAGUAUCUAAAUGUAGUACUACUACUUUAUCACGUAUUAAAAUGUUAUAAUCAUAAAUUAAAAAGAAAAGAAAAAGACUAAAAGCAAAACUUCUCAACCCCCACUCCCCCACCUACUUUUUUUUCUAUUUCCUUAACCCUCCUCACCAAGUAAAAAGUUACCUUAUUUUUUCAUUUUCUAAAUUAGACAAAUAUUAUUGGAUAAUUAUUUUUUAAUUUAGUAAACAAGUAAAAAUAAAUUUCCAUUCCUGUUUAUAUGUUGUUCUUACUAAUAAUAGAUGAUCCUUAAUACUUGUCAUUUCACAAAACCAAUAUAUAAAUAACACAAUUCUUCCUAUUUUACUCUUGAAGGUAUGAAUUUGACCAACAUAGAAAAACUAAAUAACUAAUUCAUCUUCAUUGGUCAAUUUAAUUAAUCAAAAUUAAUUAAUUUAUGUUUAUUUAUUGAAAAUUUGACUUCAAAAAAAUACUUCCUUUGUCCCUAAUUACUUGUCCACUUUUCCUUUUAUAGUUGUCCCUAAUUACUUGUCCAUUUUGACAAAUCAAGAAAGGACAAAUUUUUUUACCUAUUAUACCCUCAAUUAAAUGACUAAUUACUUUGAAAAAUGUAGAACUUUUCAUCCACUUCAUAAUUAAUAGGGGUAAAAUGGUAAACUCACUAUGUCAUUAAUUGUUUUCUUAAUACGUGUGCCAAUUCAAAAGUGGACAAAUAAAUAGGGACAUAGGGAGUACUAAAUAAGGACGCAUUAAUAAACUUAUAUAAUUUCUUAAGAACGUAAAAUCUAAAAUGAUAACAUAUAAAUAAAAACGGAGGGUACCAUUAUUAUUUCUUGUUUGUUGCCAUGCAAUUUUCAAAGAGAGAGCAAUUGCUGAAAUCCACAUUAGAUUCUCGUCAAAAGCAAAUAUCCAAAGCGUGUAGUUGGUGUGGCCGGCUAAGCUUAAUAGAACAAAGAUUUUUAAAAUUUGUGAUUGAAAAUAUUUUUAAAAAUAAAUUAUAAUUAAUAAAAUAAAUGUGUAUUACUUUUUUUGUUUAGUUUUGAUUGAUACAUUAUUUAAAAAAUAAUUAAUAAAAUAAUAAUUUUACUACAUCAUUCAUAAUUGUUAUAAGUCAUUUUACUAUUCAAAGAAUGAAUUGAAAAUAAUUAUUCCAUAAAAUAAAAAAAUAGAUAUAAAAUAGCAUAUAUCACUUAAUUUUUUAAUCUGAACAAGUAAGGUAAACAUAUAUUUUUAGUAUAAUAAAUAAAUAAAAAUGGAUAGAAAGAAUAUUUGUGUGAUUAUUAAUCAUUUAAUGAAAAGUAAUAAAAUAAAUAAAUCAAAUUAUUUCUAAUUAUAAAAAGAUAAAUUUUUAAAAACAAAUUUGAAAAAAAAAAUGCUAUAUAAAUUGAGAUGAAAAAAAUUAUUGACAUUUUGAAAUAAACUAAAAAUGAAAUUAAGUAAUAAUUAAAAAAAAUAGAAUAUAUAUUUGACCAGUUAAGUGACCUUGGCAAUAUACUAUCUCAGAAAUGACAAUCAGCAGUGUCCUUACAGUAAACAUGUGUGCUUGCCGGCCUUUAGAGUUUAGGGUAUUUUCGGGAUUCACUCAAAGAUCAUCGUUUGAUUGAAAACAAGUUACUUUGAUUUAAGAUAUUUUUUCGGUUCAUUUUUAUUUGUCACAUUUUGAUUUGGCGCAUGCAUUAAGAAAAUAAUUAUUAAUAUAUGUAUUUUACCAAACUAUCCCUAUUAAAUGAUAUUUAAUAUUAAGUCUUAGAAAGUGAUUUGAAGAAAGAGUAUUUAAUGUUAGUGUAAACAUGAAAAUAUAUUAUUGUUUUUUCUUCAUAUGUCAAAAGGGACAAAUAAAAAUGUAAAUUUAUUUAUCUUCAUAAGUAAUACUAAUACAUAUGAGAUAACUUAUUCCACCACUAAGAUAUUAAUAAUGAAAUAAAUAAUUUCAAGAUUGUCUGAUACCUCUAACCAAACACAAAACAAAAUAAUCAUUCAAAUUAUUAUAUUUUACAACUCAUAUCAAACGAUUUCUAAAAGUUACAUACCUUCAUUCAUAGGAAAAAGAUUUGAUAUACCUGAACUUUAUUAUUUAAAGUUAAAAUUUAAAUACUUUGCGUCACAAAAAUGCUCACAUAUUCCUACUGUUACACAAUUAACAGAGUAAAUUUAAAUUUAGUAGACUAAAAAAAUAUGAAAAAUAUUUACAUUUGAAUAUUUAGCAUAAUAUUAUUACUCAUCGUACAAAUAAAAACUCUACACCACAAGUGUGUUGUCAGAUGGUAGUUGAAACAAACUAAAGUUUUAUGUCUAUCUCAUACUAGUAGAAGUUAGGGUGGUGGAAAUGGAAGCUAUAUAGGUGUAGAUAAAAGAUGAUAAAAAUAUCAUUAAUUUAUAAUAUCAUUGUCAGAUUUGUACUUUUUUCAAAAUUUUUUUUUUGGGGGUGGGGGGUGGGUAGGGGAGUCAAAGGUUGGGGUGAAAAAAUAAAUUUUUGAAGUUGAAAAUGUUUUUUAAAUGAUUUUAUGAAAUAAAAAUUGAUAGUUAAAUCACCGUCUCAAAAUUAACUCAAUAAUAGAACGUAACAGUACGUAUUUCGCAUACUUUAAUUUUGUUCAUUGUCAGAUAUCUCAGGAAGUAAAUGUACUUUGAUUAUUGGUAAAAAAAAAAACAGUCACCAAGUAAAAUCCGCGAUCCCACAAGAUAAUUUUUUUCAUUACCCAAAAAGGUAGUAAAAAAAAUACAAUUGCAAAUUGACAUUUUAGGAAAGUUGAUGUGUCAGUGACUCAGUGAACUUUAAUCCAUUGGGCUUAACUGCUGCUGGAGCCCAAUGUCUUCUAAGCAAGUACCCUCUAUGACGUACAAUUUUUAUUUUUUUUUACCCUGGAUCUCCCACCUCUUUUACUCCCUUGGUGACUUGAAUUCGCAACCUUCGAGUUGGAAGUGAGGGGUGCUUACCAUCCGAGCAACUCCCUCUCAUCAUGACGUACAAAUUUCGAAAAGAUUAUUUUCCUUUUUUCUAUUUCACAAUCUACAUAUUAUAAUUUUAAAAUUUUCUAUCAUUUUAAAAAUUACAAAAGUCUUCUCUCGGAUAAUUGCUAUCUCUUCUCAGAUACAUCUCUCAUUAAGUAAUGUAUCCGAGAGCAAUGAAAAAUGUGAAAUUUUUGUAAUUAGGGAAAUUUUCAGGAUAUGAUGUAAUUAGUAUGUGAUUUUCUCAAAAAAUUCACCGGUCACAAUUUUGGAUCAAUUUUGAAAUAAAAACAUAGUUGCUCACAUUUGUGUGCAAGUUUUGGUGAUGUGAACUUGUGAACAAUUUGUAACUUGGCAAGUUUUUUUUUUUCAUCUAUCAAGAAGUUCUUGGUGAUCCGCCCCACAUUCGUAAACAAUUUUUUUCAAAGAUCACGAUACAAUCUGUACUAUCAUGGUAAUUCACUUAUACUUGUUGCAUUCGAACUUAUUCUAACCCACAAGCUAUUUGCUAUACUUAAAAUGGAAUCAAAAAUUAAAUAGUGACAAUGAAAGUACCAUAUUUUUGCAAAUCACCCUUAACUAGGUCGUUUGGUUAAACAACUUUAAUCUUGUACCCGAAGAAUGUUAUUUUUAAGUAAAUAAUUGUAAUAUAAAGAUGUCAGACGGUGAAUAGUAACAUAAGGACUGUUAGUUUUUUUUUUUUCCUUUUCUUCACGAGGAUCAAUAGUGUUCUAACUUAUCCUCAGUCAUAACUUCCGAUUGAUAGGGAAGGUGUUCAACCACUUGAGCAAACUUCACUUGUCAAUUAGUACGAUGUUUAAUACUUAGGCUGCAUUAAUUACGCAAAGUUACAAUUAGUUAUAAAUUAAAUUAAUACAGUUUUAUUUUGAAAACAAAUUACUCAUAUACAAUAAGUUACAAUUGGUAUCACUCAUGAGUUCUCGUUCAAUCUAAUAUAAAAUAUAUAUCAAGAUCCACAAGACAUGAACAAAGGUUUAACAAAACAAAAAAAACGCUCUAUUGAAGUACUCAGGAGUGGGGAUUAUGUAGUAUGGGUUUAUCCGAAUCUUCUUCGCCCCCAAAGCACACAGUAUAUUUACAAACUUAAUUUUAUCUCUCUAUAUAUAGCAGAUGAUGAAUCCUCUUGUAAAAAUAUCUCUCUGACAAUAUCAUGCACUCUGAGCUUCUAGAAAUGUAGUGAAAUCUUCUCUAGAUGUAAGCAUUCGUGGUGUUAUGCAGGACGUAGGUGAUGGCGGGUACGAUGUCGGGGACGACGUAGAAAACCGAACAUGUCGGGUCGAUUCAUGUGAUUUCCUCGAAGAAGUUGUUAUUGUUGAUGUAUUUUUGAGGACCCCUUUCACUUCCUUAUCGAAAACAAACCCAGUCGUAACAGGGGAAAACGUGUCGUCGUUCACAUUACUGCACCGGAUGAGCUCCAAUGGCAGAUCGAAAAACAUGUUGUUGGAGGCUGUAUCUCCAACGUCGUUGAUUAUAGCUGCCGAUGAUGUCCACGACCCACAUUCGAAUUUCUCCAACGAAACUGUCCUUGAAACAAUAUGUGGUCCUAUAUCGGACGAUGAUACACAUAAUUCAAUAGUAUUAGGUAAUUAAAAAUAUAACCAAUAUUCCCUCAGCCCAAUUUCCCCCUUUAACCCGGCCCACCACAAUUCUAAACAUCCAGCACAAUCCAAUAUUCCCAAUUUUUUUUUCCUUCAACACGUCAAUUCCAGCAAACAACAUCAAAACGCAACACAGCAGCACCACAACGUCUUCCUCGCUGCAACAACAGCGAAAAAGCACCUGCCAGCAGCUGUGAGUCCGUCCUUGUGGCCUCAGGAUGGAGCCACGUCGCGCCCAAGGACGAGUAAGUCAAUCCCAGCCAUCAAUCUCACCAUUUCCACUUUCGGAAUGGGGUUGAAGACCUCACAAAAGUAUGUUUGCCUCUAAUGGUGAAAGUUUUUUGAAAGUUUGAAUUGAGAUGGGCCUUAUGCCUAUCCGAUUUUUGGAUCCCUUCCCCCCCAUUUGGAACCCUAAUUUCUCCCCUAUAAAUACUUCAUCUUCUCCACUGUGAGAAGGGGGCCAAAAAUUUGGAAUUAGGGAACAUAUUAGAGAAAGAGGUUGGAAAAAAUAGAGAAGUCAGCUUGAAUUAGGAAACAAUAUUGUGAGCUACUAGCUAUACAUAGUUGUAUACAAUUAUUUAGGGAAUAGGUUUUGAGGUUAUAGAGAUUGGGAAUCAAAUUUCUGCUCCCGUUUGACUCUGCUCUGUUCACCGAGGUUCUCGGAGUCGUAUUUCAGCGGUGGUGAAGUCGUCUCCUCUUCGUCUCGUUCUAGUUCGCUGCCCCGAAAAAAGUAUACUUCCUCACUUUCUUUAUUAGUUAUCUUGCGUGUUUUAUCUUUAGCCUACUGUUGGAGUAGUUAAUUUGGCUUAAUGUUUCUUUGUUUUGUUUGAAAUUUCAGUUUUCCAAUCUUAGUAUAGUUGAGAUUUUUUCUAAUGAUAAUACACGAUUUUCCUUUGCCCGCUUUGACCUGAAUGUGAUUUGGAUAUAUAUAUAUGUGAAGUGCUGAGAUGUUGUUGGGUUUAGCUUUUUCAUCAAUGUGAUGAGAAUGUGACCAUAGCUCGGGCCGCUGCCUUUGUGUUCUUUUUAUUGUGAUGAAUUCUUGUUAAUACUAGUUUGUGUAUCUAGUCUUUGUUCCCACUUAGCCAGAUUGAUAUAUGUAUCAUUUUGGUUUCAACUUAUGGUAUUAUGCUUAUAACUCCGCUAUCUUUAUGUGUCGAUUUAACCAAGGUUAUUCCUAUUUUUUUAGAAAUUCAUCUUCCCGUCUUUGCCUAAUUUAAAAACAUCCAUCACGAGUAUAACUUGUCGCUUAGCUUAGUCGUUUACUUGGUAUUUGCUCAACUUUUUUUUUCUCUAUGGAUGUUAUUUUUAUGCCUAUUUGUGCCGGUGUUAGCAUGGAAUAAUAAUGUUUCUAUGAUUAGUUAUUUGGAGGCAACUAUUUUCUCCCUUUGCUUAAGAUGAUUUAGUUGGCUAUUGCCUCCAAUAUUUUGACCCUUUAGUAUAACAAGUUGUCCUCUUUAGUCCCCCAUGGAUAAAAUUUAGUUUUGUUAUUGCUUGAAGUGGAAUAUUUGUCUAAUAUGCAGCAUGAUUUCCCUCUCUUUCUAUUUUGAGCUGUGUUGGUUGCUUAUUAUUUACUUAUCAUGGUGUAAUCUACUCUUGUUUUGUCCAUGUGCAGCCUCCAUUUUGUUGUUUUAUUCAAUGAUAGUUUUUCUUGAAUAUCAUGCCUUUGAACAAAGUAUAAUCACUUCCUUAUUUACAUUUUAAAGUUACUCAAGAAAUGUCCCUUUAGCAUUUUGAUUGGUUUGUUUCAAUUCUUAUUUAUUUAGGAUUAUUGUGGUCUAUUAUCUUUAGAAAGCAUGUUUUGGAGUUAUGGUCUUUCCUUUAAUCCUUGACAUGUGAUUUAUAACGACCCAUAAUGUAACCUUUUUUUUUCAUUAUUUUUUAUUUUGUUAAAGAGCUUGUUCUAUACUUGUUUACUUGCAUGAAGAUCAAUAACUCUUCUUAUUCAAUUUAUCUUAUUUGUUCCAUGAUUUCUAAUUUCUUAUCCUCAUUUUCGUUGCAUGUGAAAUGCUAUCCGAGCCUAUUUUGGACUCUACUCUUGCAUAUCCGUGAAUUGUUUCGAGUCACCCUCAUAUUCGUUGAAAAAGAAGCUGAAACAAGCCCCGGAAAAGUCUCAAAAAUGGGCUGUAUACAUAUUGUAUACAGCAGUAUAUAUCGAUAUACAUUGAAAUACAGGUUGAAAACAGAGACGCAGGUGUACGGGAGUCCAAAAAUAGAUUACAUACAUUUGUAUACACUAAGCUACAGGUUCUGGGCACCACAUACAAGAAUAUACAGCUGUAUAUGAAAGUCGUAUACACUGCAUAAAGGCAGUGGAAAAU